AAUCAACGCUGGCGGCGUGCCUCAGACAUGCAAGUCGAACGAUUAAGACUUCCUUCGGGAAGUGCAUAAAGUGGCGCACGGGUGAGUAACACGUAAGUAAUCUACCCUCGAGUGGGGAAUAACGUUCGGAAACGGACGCUAAUACCGCAUAACGCAGCGGCACCGCAAGGUGACAGUUGUUAAAGGAGCAAUUCGCUUGAAGAGGAGCUUGCGGCAGAUUAGCUAGUUGGUAAGGUAAUGGCUUACCAAGGCUACGAUCUGUAACCGGUCUUAGAGGACGGUCGGUCACACUGACACUGAACAACGGGUCAGACUCCUACGGGAGGCAGCAGUCGGGAAUUUUGGGCAAUGGGCGACAGCCUGACGCAGCGACGCCGCGUGGGGGAUGAAGGUCUUCGGAUUGUAAACCCCUUUCGGCAGGGAAGAUGGAACGGGUAACCGUUCGGACGGUACCUGCAGAAGCAGCCACGGCUAACUUCGUG
rnacentral:rRNA from 1 species